UAAUUGUCAGAGAUGAGAACUGAGCUGAUCAGGCCUAGCUCAACCCCUGCAUCCCUGCUGGAGCUGUCCUGGGUCACCAGAACUUCUUCCUCAGGGCUCCUGCUUUCUGCAUCAUGAGCUAGCCUUCUGUAUCAUGAGCUAGCAUUUGUUGUCUACACUGAACUCGUCCAAUGGGGAAAUGAAUGGUCUUUCUUUCUACAGGAUGGCAUAUCAUGAGAC